GAUGAACGCUAGCGGCAGGCUUAAUACAUGCAAGUCGAGGGGCAGCAGGGGUGUAGCAAUACACUCGCUGGCGACCGGCAAACGGGUGCGGAACACGUACGCAACUUACCCAUAACUGGGGGAUAGCCCGGGGAAACCCGGAUUAAUACCUCGUAACACCAUGAAGUGGCAUCGCUUUAUGGUUAUAGCUCCGGCGGUUAUGGAUGGGCGUGCGCCUGAUUAGGUAGUUGGCGGGGUAACGGCCCACCAAGCCUACGAUCAGUAACUGGUGUGAGAGCACGACCAGUCACACGGGCACUGAGACACGGGCCCGACUCCUACGGGAGGCAGCAGUAAGGAAUAUUGGUCAAUGGACGCAAGUCUGAACCAGCCAUGCCGCGUGAAGGAUGAAGGUCCUCUGGAUUGUAAACUUCUUUUAUAUGGGACGAAACCCGGGUAUUCCUACCCGAUUGACGGUACCAUAGGAAUAAGCACCGGCUAACUCCGUGCCAGCCGCCGCAGUAAAAC
rnacentral:rRNA from 1 species